AGAGGGAGCUGGCGAGCAGCCAGCAGCUAAUAGCAGCAUAAAAGCAAUUUGAUGAAAAAAAAAAAAAAUUAACAUGCUAAUUGUCAGGCUGGAGAGCGUGCUGGGGCCCAAGAGGAAAAAAAAAAAAAAAAAAAAAAAAAAAAAGAAGAAAAAAGGCAUUUUCUAUCUAUGCCAGAGAGAGCAAUUUUAACAAUAGAGGUCUGAAGAAGAAAGAGAUUUUGAAGCAAUUUUCUUUCUGUCCCAUCCUCUGUUACCCUCCCCCAGCUCAGAACCUCUCAGCAGAGCCCCCGGGCUCUCGCAAGGCUUUAUCGGCGGAUCUCUUCCCUUAGCAUCAUGUCACUGCCAGACACGGCGGACUUCAGAGCCCGCCGGCACCCCCGUGCAAUUCCUCCCUUCCCCCGGUAGCAAGUGACGCCGCAGCGGAGCCUCUGUCGGGAGGAAAAGUCCCGUUUGACACAAUUCUGCACAGUCCCACUUCGCAGCGCUGUGAGGCAAGGGCAGAGAAGAGCAGCCAAAAGGAAUGCCUGGAAGGCUAAAGCAGCAAGCCCAGCCUCUGAACGUUGGCUACCCGGUGUGCCGCUAACUGGGAUUAAGAAAGUCCACCAAUGCUUCCCAGCACCGGGAUUUCAGCAGCGAGGAGGAUCCCGGGGGAGAAACCGGCGACCGUGAACCCAGCGGGAUGCCAAAGCGGCAGCUGCCUCUCUCUGCAGAUCCCAUUUAACCCCGGAUUUGUGUGCAUCCCACUUCAGAAAAGCCACCUGGAAGCCCGCCGUGCCUGCCCUUUGACCGAGAGCGAGCGGCGCCCACCGAAGCCCCGCUGCCCCCCGAGCGCUCCCAUGCACGCCCCACGGCCCCGGAGCCCCCACGCUGCAGGACUGAGAAAGCUAUUAAUACAGAUCCACGUCAAGUUUCUGGAAAACCAACAAGCCACUGCAAUGUGUAAUUCAAGAAGUUACUAA
rnacentral:lncRNA from 1 species